UACAGAGGUCUCAAGCGUUGUUCGGAUUCAUUGGGCGUAAAGGGUGCGUAGGCGGCGCGGUAAGUCGGAUGUGAAAUCUCGGAGCUUAACUCCGAAACUGCAUUCGAUACUGCCGUGCUUGAGGACUGGAGAGGAGACUGGAAUUUACGGUGUAGCGGUGAAAUGCGUAGAUAUCGUAAGGAAAACCAGUGGCGAAGGCGGGUCUCUGGACAGUUCCUGGACGGCUGAGGCAACGAAGGCCCAGGGGAGCAAACGGG
rnacentral:rRNA from 1 species